UUCUCUCAAUUUGAGACCUAUAUAUCCUUCUUCCGCGUUGAUUUUGCCCAAAAUUCAAUUUUAUUUGCCUUAAUUACUCUGAAAUCGGAGCACAAAGGCUUCCUCCUUUCUGCGACCCAUUAAAUGUUCAUCAUUUUGCGUGCAAUGAUCUGAACCAUUUUCAUUCCCUGUACCGUUGUUUCGUUCUGGCAUAACCAAAUUAGGUCAUUGGUUUUUGGUUUGUGGAAAAUGUUUCUGAUCAUUCACGCAAAAUGAUGUCAAUUUUGUGGGUUCAUGUUGCUGAGGCCUAAUCCUGCUCACAAAGUUGGUUUUUCAAUUUCAACUUCUGGUGAUCGUAUUGGGUAUUCCUAUGAUUUAUUUGCAUGUAAUUGGCCAAUGGAUAUGAUAAUUAAUGCAAUAUUAUUUUAUUUGCUUG